GACAGAGGGGGCAAGCGUUGCUCGGAAUCACUGGGCGUAAAGGGCGCGUAGGCGGGAUGGCAAGUCGGUCGUGAAAUCCUUCGGCUCAACCGAAGAACGUCGGCCGAUACUGCCGUUCUUGAGGGAUGCAGAGGAGAUUGGAAUUCCCGGUGUAGCGGUGAAAUGUGUAGAGAUCGGGAGGAACACCGGUGGCGGAAGGCGGGUCU
rnacentral:rRNA from 1 species